rnacentral:tRNA from 1 species
GUCCCCUUCGGCUAGGGGCCCAGGGCACCACCCUUUCACGGCGGUAACAGGGGUUCGAAUCCCCUAGGGGACGCCA